AGUGAACGCUGGCGGUAGGCCUAACACAUGCAAGUCGAACGGCAGCACAGGAGAGCUUGCUCUCUGGGUGGCGAGUGGCGGACGGGUGAGGAAUACAUCGGAAUCUACUUUUUCGUGGGGGAUAACGUAGGGAAACUUACGCUAAUACCGCAUACGACCUACGGGUGAAAGCAGGGGACCUUCGGGCCUUGCGCGGUUGAAUGAGCCGAUGUCGGAUUAGCUAGGUGGCGGGGUAAAGGCCCACCAAGGCGACGAUCCGUAGCGGGUCUGAGAAGAUGAACAGCCACACUGGAACUGAGACACGGUCCAGACUCCUACGGGAGGCAGCAGUGGGGAAUAUUGGACGAUGGGCGCAAGCCUGAUCCAGCCAUGCCGCGUGGGUGAAGAAGGCCUUCGGGUUGUAAAGCCCUUUUGUUGGGAAAGAAAUCCAGCUGGCUAAUACCCGGUUGGGAUGACGGUACCAAAGAAUAAGCACCGGCUAACUUCGUGCCAGCCGCCGCAGUAA
rnacentral:rRNA from 1 species